rnacentral:rRNA from 1 species
UACAGAGGUCCCGAGCGUUGUUCGGAUUCAUUGGGCGUAAAGAGCGUGUAGGCGGCCUGAAAGGUCAGCUGUGAAAACUCGGGGCUCAACCCCGAGACGUCGGUUGAAACCAUCUGGCUAGAGUCCGGAAGAGGAGUGUGGAAUUCCCGGUGUAGCGGUGAAAUGCGCAGAUAUCGGGAAGAACACCCGUGGCGAAGGCGGCACUCUGGGACGGUACUGACGCUGAGACGCGAAAGCGUGGGGAGCGAACAGG